rnacentral:lncRNA from 1 species
UCCUCCGUAAUGUCCACCACCUCGGAGAAUCUAUUCUGCAACAGCUCCAGUUCACGGGGCGAUGGCCGAUGGCAUGACCAAGCCGGCUGCCGGGAGGUUCCUUUCGCAACAUCGGCCCAGGACCGGUCCUUCACCGCACCCCCCCCCAUCCUGCGCCACAUAUCCCUCCUCCUUCCCCGGCCCCGGCCGAGACGAAGCCCCCUUCCGAGCAUCCAUACCACCCAACCCCUCUACUGUUCACCGAAAUUCCCCAGUGACCCCCCAGUGACCCAACCCCUCCAUACCCAAGGUAAGUUCUCUA